UUAAGCGACUAAGCGUACACGGUGGAUGCCCUGGCAGUCAGAGGCGAUGAAGGACGUGCUAAUCUGCGAUAAGCGUCGGUAAGGUGAUAUGAACCGUUAUAACCGGCGAUUUCCGAAUGGGGAAACCCAGUGUGAUUCGUCACACUAUCAUUAACUGAAUCCAUAGGUUAAUGAGGCGAACCGGGGGAACUGAAACAUCUAAGUACCCCGAGGAAAAGAAAUCAACCGAGAUUCCCCCAGUAGCGGCGAGCGAACGGGGAGCAGCCCAGAGCCUGAAUCAGUGUGUGUGUUAGUGGAAGCGUCUGGAAAGGCACGCGAUACAGGGUGACAGCCCCGUACACAAAAAUGCACAUGCUGUGAGCUCGAUGAGUAGGGCGGGACACGUGGUAUCCUGUCUGAAUAUGGGGGGACCAUCCUCCAAGGCUAAAUACUCCUGACUGACCGAUAGUGAACCAGUACCGUGAGGAAAGGCGAAAAGAACCCCGGCGAGGGGAGUGAAAAAGAACCUGAAACCGUGUACGUACAAGCAGUGGGAGCACGCUUAGGCGUGUGACUGCGUACCUUUUGUAUAAUGGGUCAGCGACUUAUAUUCUGUAGCAAGGUUAACCGAAUAGGGGAGCCGAAGGGAAACCGAGUCUUAACUGGGCGUUAAGUUGCAGGGUAUAGACCCGAAACCCGGUGAUCUAGCCAUGGGCAGGUUGAAGGUUGGGUAACACUAACUGGAGGACCGAACCGACUAAUGUUGAAAAAUUAGCGGAUGACUUGUGGCUGGGGGUGAAAGGCCAAUCAAACCGGGAGAUAGCUGGUUCUCCCCGAAAGCUAUUUAGGUAGCGCCUCGUGAAUUCAUCUCCGGGGUAGAGCACUGUUUCGGCAAGGGGGUCAUCCCGACUUACCAACCCGAUGCAAACUGCGAAUACCGGAGAAUGUUAUCACGGGAGACACACGGCGGUGCUAACGUCCGUCGUGAAGAGGGAAACAACCCAGACCGCCAGCUAAGGUCCCAAAGUCAUGGUUAAGUGGGAAACGAUGUGGGAAGGCCCAGACAGCCAGGAUGUUGGCUUAGAAGCAGCCAUCAUUUAAAGAAAGCGUAAUAGCUCACUGGUCGAGUCGGCCUGCGCGGAAGAUGUAACGGGGCUAAACCAUGCACCGAAGCUGCGGCAGCGACGCUUAUGCGUUGUUGGGUAGGGGAGCGUUCUGUAAGCCUGUGAAGGUGUGCUGUGAGGCAUGCUGGAGGUAUCAGAAGUGCGAAUGCUGACAUAAGUAACGAUAAAGCGGGUGAAAAGCCCGCUCGCCGGAAGACCAAGGGUUCCUGUCCAACGUUAAUCGGGGCAGGGUGAGUCGACCCCUAAGGCGAGGCCGAAAGGCGUAGUCGAUGGGAAACAGGUUAAUAUUCCUGUACUUGGUGUUACUGCGAAGGGGGGACGGAGAAGGCUAUGUUGGCCGGGCGACGGUUGUCCCGGUUUAAGCGUGUAGGCUGGUUUUCCAGGCAAAUCCGGAAAAUCAAGGCUGAGGCGUGAUGACGAGGCACUACGGUGCUGAAGCAACAAAUGCCCUGCUUCCAGGAAAAGCCUCUAAGCAUCAGGUAACAUCAAAUCGUACCCCAAACCGACACAGGUGGUCAGGUAGAGAAUACCAAGGCGCUUGAGAGAACUCGGGUGAAGGAACUAGGCAAAAUGGUGCCGUAACUUCGGGAGAAGGCACGCUGAUAUGUAGGUGAAGUCCCUCGCGGAUGGAGCUGAAAUCAGUCGAAGAUACCAGCUGGCUGCAACUGUUUAUUAAAAACACAGCCACUGUGCAAACACGAAAGUGGACGUAUACGGUGUGACGCCUGCCCGGUGCCGGAAGGUUAAUUGAUGGGGUUAGCGCAAGCGAAGCUCUUGAUCGAAGCCCCGGUAAACGGCGGCCGUAACUAUAACGGUCCUAAGGUAGCGAAAUUCCUUGUCGGGUAAGUUCCGACCUGCACGAAUGGCGUAAUGAUGGCCAGGCUGUCUCCACCCGAGACUCAGUGAAAUUGAACUCGCUGUGAAGAUGCAGUGUACCCGCGGCAAGACGGAAAGACCCCGUGAACCUUUACUAUAGCUUGACACUGAACAUUGAGCCUUGAUGUGUAGGAUAGGUGGGAGGCUUAGAAGUGUGGACGCCAGUCUGCAUGGAGCCGACCUUGAAAUACCACCCUUUAAUGUUUGAUGUUCUAACGUUGACCCGUAAUCCGGGUUGCGGACAGUGUCUGGUGGGUAGUUUGACUGGGGCGGUCUCCUCCUAAAGAGUAACGGAGGAGCACGAAGGUUGGCUAAUCCUGGUCGGACAUCAGGAGGUUAGUGCAAUGGCAUAAGCCAGCUUGACUGCGAGCGUGACGGCGCGAGCAGGUGCGAAAGCAGGUCAUAGUGAUCCGGUGGUUCUGAAUGGAAGGGCCAUCGCUCAACGGAUAAAAGGUACUCCGGGGAUAACAGGCUGAUACCGCCCAAGAGUUCAUAUCGACGGCGGUGUUUGGCACCUCGAUGUCGGCUCAUCACAUCCUGGGGCUGAAGUAGGUCCCAAGGGUAUGGCUGUUCGCCAUUUAAAGUGGUACGCGAGCUGGGUUUAGAACGUCGUGAGACAGUUCCGGUCCCUAUCUGCCGUGGGCGCUGGAGAACUGAGGGGGGCUGCUCCUAGUACGAGAGGACCGGAGUGGACGCAUCACUGGUGUUCGGGUUGUCAUGCCAAUGGCACUGCCCGGUAGCUAAAUGCGGAAGAGAUAAGUGCUGAAAGCAUCUAAGCACGAAACUUGCCCCGAGAUGAGUUCUCCCCUGACUCCUUGAGAGUCCUGAAGGAACGUUGAAGACGACGACGUUGAUAGGCCGGGUGUGUAAGCGCAGCGAUGCGUUGAGCUAACCGGUACUAAUGAACCGUGAGGCUUAACCUU
rnacentral:rRNA from 1 species